CGAACGCUGGCGGCGUGCUUAACACAUGCAAGUCGAACGGAAAGGCCUCAGCUUGCUGGGGUACUCGAGUGGCGAACGGGUGAGUAACACGUGGGUGAUCUGCCUUGCACUCUGGGAUAAGCUUGGGAAACUGGGUCUAAUACCGGAUAUGAACUGCCUUUAGUGUGGUGGUUGGAAAGUUUUUUCGGUGCAGGAUGAGCUCGCGGCCUAUCAGCUUGUUGGUGGGGUAAUGGCCUACCAAGGCGUCGACGGGUAGCCGGCCUGAGAGGGUGUACGGCCACAUUGGGACUGAGAUACGGCCCAGACUCCUACGGGAGGCAGCAGUGGGGAAUAUUGCACAAUGGGCGGAAGCCUGAUGCAGCGACGCCGCGUGGGGGAUGACGGCCUUCGGGUUGUAAACUCCUUUCGACAGGGACGAAGCUUUUUGUGACGGUACCUGUAUAAGAAGCACCGGCUAACUACGUG
rnacentral:rRNA from 1 species